rnacentral:lncRNA from 1 species
CCAACUAUUUAUACUAAAACUAGGACAUGAAUAGCCAAUUCUGGCCAUUAAUAAGUAACAUGAAUCAGCCCAUGAACCGAUUUUAAUGAUAUAUGUUCAUCCAUUGAAUGACAUUUAAGUCACAUUCGUCCCCCCCUUGCCAUCCAUAGAUGCAUCCUUAGUCAUGAAGCAAAUGUUUGUUCAUCAUGGGUAAUAAAUUUGACUUCUAGAAUCUGCCCAUUCAUCCCUUCAAUUUGGAUGGUGCUUUUAAGGCUCCUUUGUUUCCCACGAAAAAGGCUCCUAGGUGAGCUCAAACGGCAGCUUAAAUGCAGGUUUUAAUUUGCUGCUCAUGCAUUCUCUUAAUUGAGACGGCACAUUAAUGGCUCUAUUGAAGGGACCGAAAUAGCACAUGGAGAAGAGGGAUUUUAAUGCCGUCCCAUGCAUAGGGAGAAGAAUGCAGCAACCAAUUUA